AGCGAACGCUAGCGGGUGGCUUAACACAUGCAAGUCGAGCGGGCGUCUUCGGGCGUCAGCGGCGAACGGGUGCGUAACGCGUAGGAACUCUACCUUGGGGUGGGGAUAACCCGGCGAAGCCGGGCUAAUACCGCAUAUGGCCUACGGGUCAAAGCAGCAAUGCGCCUUUAGAUGAGCCUGCGUCCCAUUAUUUAAUCCUAGUUGGCGGGGUAAUGGCCCACCAAGGGUACGAUGGGUAGCUGGUCUGAGAGGACGAUCAGCCACACUGGGACUGAGACACGGCCCAGACUCCUACGGGAGGCAGCAGUGGGGAAUAUUGCGCAAUGGGCGAAAGCCUGACGCAGCCAACCCGCGUGUGUGAUGAAGGCCUUCGGUUGUAAAGCACUGUCGUGA
rnacentral:rRNA from 1 species